rnacentral:rRNA from 1 species
UACGGGGGGGCGAAGCGUUGUUCGGAAUUACUGGGCGUAAAGGGCUCGUAGGCGGCCAACUAAGUCGGAUGUGAAAUCCCCAGGCUCAACUUGGGAACUGCAUCCGAUACUGGAUGGCUUGAAUUCGGGAGAGGGAUGCAGAAUUCCAGGUGUAGCGGUGAAAUGCGUAGAUAUCUGGAGGAAUACCGGUGGCGAAGGCGGUUCUCUGGGCAUUACCUGACGCUGAGGAGCGAAAGCGUGGGGAGCAAACAGG